rnacentral:rRNA from 1 species
GACGAACGCUGGCGGCGUGCCUAAUACAUGCAAGUAGAACGCUGAAGGAGGAGCUUGCUCUUCUGGAUGAGUUGCGAACGGGUGAGUAACGCGUAGGUAACCUGCCUGGUAGCGGGGGAUAACUAUUGGAAACGAUAGCUAAUACCGCAUAAGAGUAGAUGUUGCAUGACAUUUACUUAAAAGGUGCAAUUGCAUCACUACCAGAUGGACCUGCGUUGUAUUAGCUAGUUGGUGGGGUAACGGCUUACCAAGGCGACGAUACAUAGCCGACCUGAGAGGGUGAUCGGCCACACUGGGACUGAGACACGGCCCAGACUCCUACGGGAGGCAGCAGUAGGGAAUCUUCGGCAAUGGACGGAAGUCUGACCGAGCAACGCCGCGUGAGUGAAGAAGGUUUUCGGAUCGUAAAGCUCUGUUGUAAGAGAAGAACGAGUGUGAGAGUGGAAAGUUCACACUGUGACGGUAUCUUACCAGAAAGGGACGGCUAACUACGUGC